AGUGAACGCUGGCGGUAGGCCUAACACAUGCAAGUCGAACGGCAGCACAGUAAGAGCUUGCUCUUACGGGUUGCGAGUGGCGGACGGGUGAGGAAUACAUCGGAAUCUACUUUUUCGUGGGGGAUAACGUAGGGAAACUUACGCUAAUACCGCAUACGACCUACGGGUGAAAGCAGUGGAUCUUCGGACCUUGCGCGAUUGAAUGAGCCGAUGUCGGAUUAGCUAGUUGGCGGGGUAAAGGCCCACCAAGGCGACGAUCCGUAGCUGGUCUGAGAGGAUGAUCAGCCACACUGGAACUGAGACACGGUCCAGACUCCUACGGGAGGCAGCAGUGGGGAAUAUUGGACAAUGGGCGCAAGCCUGAUCCAGCCAUACCGCGUGGGUGAAGAAGGCCUUCGGGUUGUAAAGCCCUUUUGUUGGGAAAGAAAAGCAGCAGGUUAAUACCACGCUGUUCUGACGGUACCCAAAGAAUAAGCACCGGCUAACUUCGUG
rnacentral:rRNA from 1 species